UCAGUAAGGUAAUGUCCAUCAAGCAUGUACUUAGUGUUUGGGUUCUUUUUUCCAAUAUGUAAAACUGAGCAUUUGCUGGUUGAGAUUUGGAGUUGCCAAGUUUUAGACCAAGCAGUUAGAUGAUCAAGGUCUUUUUGAAUGGUAGAUGUAUUGUCGGUGGUGUUAAAUAGUUUGACAUCGUCAGCAAAGAGAACACAAUUACUUGAGAUAUGGUCACAAAGAUCAUUUAUGUAUAAUAUGAAGAGUGUUGGUCCAAGAACGCUGCCUUGAGGAACGCCACUCUUGACAGGAACAGGAUUUGAUAGAGCAGUAAAAGUAGUUGUUUUUUUUUAUGUUAUAGGUCUUUUGUGGUCCAUUUCCAAAUCUACAGGAACUCUUGCCUUGCUCUGACUUCCAACUAUUUGUGUUUCUUAAACAGGAAUGUCCAGAAAUCAGGAGAUCAUGAAUUCUAGGCCUGCCUUUGACUUGAAGCCAGUGGGGUGACUUUGGGUCUCUCUGUCUUUCUCUCUCUCUCUUUCUCCCUCCCUCCCUCCCUCGGAUGCACAGAAGAGCAAACCACUUCUAAAACCUGGUCAAUGGUUACCUAUGCAGGUAACCACAAAGAAUCAAGACAAUUGCUUGGGAUUUUUUUGCAUAGGAGUACACACACACAUACGGCAUGAAAUGAGAAUAUAGAUGGAGGUAAGAACAGCAAGCAAUCUGACUUUGUUUCUCUUCUGCUUAGCAUGGAGGUGAGUUGAUUUUAAUGACUCCUGUUUGAAGUACAUAAUGGUAGAUAUGGCGGUACUGAUUUUAGACUUCUAUCGGUCCCAUGGUUGAUAAUAUCUACCUAGAGAAAAAUGCUUUGACCUGGGCCAGUUUUAUAGAGUGGUAUUCAAUCCUUUUCUGUUGAUGCCGGAAUAUUUCAAUCGGUUUGCAUUUUUAUUUUAUCACCGCUAAAUUAGCAUCGUGUCUUAAAAUAUAUUUUAAAGCAAGCAGUAAACCUAAGUGCUUUUUAACAGUUGCCUUCAAAGGCCACCACCCCAUAUCAGUGAUAAAUCCCCUUGUAGAGACAGCGAGCAAUUACAUCAUGCUCACAUUUGUUUUAGCUGUUCGAUUUUGAAAUAAAAUACCGGGUGUUAAUUGAAGUUUUUUUAUAUGUAGAGGUAGAUUUGAUCACUGUAAGUAAUAAAGUUUUGGCUCUUCUAGCCAAACAUUUAAAGCAUUAAUAUGCAGGAACGACGAUAAAUAUAAAGGAAGAAAACCUACCCUGGAUCUUUAAAUGUCACAUAAAUGGCCAUUGAUAUAUUAGCUUGUAUACUAACAAGCUCAUAACUUCCAACAUUUUUCUAAUAACGAGAAAACAUUCGCUUUUAAUUAUGUCUACUUUCUAUCCUUGGUUUGGGAACAAGCUGUUUUUCAUUGGACUCAGCGGUUAAAAUACCCGAUUAAAAACAUUCAAAAAUAUAACUAAAAAGGUAGUCCUCCACUUAUGACCAUCAUUGAGCCCAACAUUUCCCUUGCUAAGCAGGACAGUUGUUAAGUGAGUUUUACCCCAUUUUGCGACCUUGUUUCCCACAGUUAUUGUGAAUCUCUGCAGAUGUUAAUAACCCAAUUAUUAAUUGAAUCUGGCUUCCCCAUUGACUUUGCUUAUCAGAAGAUCGCAAAAGGGUUAGGGAAUACGGCAACUGUCAUAAAUAUGAAUCAGUUGCCAAACAUCUGAGUUUUGAUCAUACGACCCAACGGUUGUGUAGAAAGUUAGCACCCACCCCUCUCCUAGAAGAAUAAAAUAUUCUAGGAAAUAUUAAAAGGCAGAAUAUUUCCCCUAAAAGAGAAAUAAAAAUCUUAAAGGAAACAGAAACUCAGCCUCAGCUCCCUGCCCCCAGCAAAUAUUUUGCUGCCAGCCUAUCUACAAGACAAAAGACUGGGCCAGCCUAUCUACAAGACAAAAGACCUUCACCCUCAGGACAUAAUAGGAUUAGCUCUCUACCCAUCUAGCAGCAGAGCUCACCACAUGGCACCCAGGGAGUGGUUCAACCAAACGUAAUUCAAACAAACAUGACUCCACAUGGGAGUCUGACAACAACCAAUAGAAUAUAUUUCUUGCACAGGAACAGGAAACUCAAGGGCAAGGCCCAAGAGAGGGUAUAAAUACCUCUCUAUCUCAAACCCAUGUGUUCAGCUGCACCAGGACUUGAAACCCAUGUCCUGUCCAUCAAUAAACCAUCUUUCCAAUCAACCGCCAUGUUUCCAGUGUCUUUCUCCCCACUUGGAACUGAACCCAGAUGGACAUUUCUUCCAACAGUUAAGAAUGACUCGGCUAUCAAACCCAGGUCCCCGGAGGGAAACCUUGUACCCAGAAUUUAUGCAGCUGACAGAAAUACUCAUCGCUGUAUAGCAAUCCGGAGAAAAAGACUAAGAGGUUUUCUCUUUUCACCUGACUUCUGGCUGCUCACCUUCUUUUGUCUCUAAAGAGAAGAAAAUUUAGUGGUGGCCUCUAGUGGAAGAGGACAUUUUUAUUUUCUGAAUUUUCCCUAUGUCAAAACCAGGGGUAGUAUUCACUUACUUUCCCUACUGAUUUGUAAAGGAGUCUACCAAAGUACACAGAAGGUCUUGUCCUGUGACUUUUGCGCACCAAAGCAAUGCGAACUAGCACCCUUGGAGUAUCUGAGUAGCUUUGUGAGACAACCACUCCCUGGAAUUCAAGACACACGGAGUAGAGAAACUCUUCCAUUCCUCUUUAUUAACUUUGUCUGUGCUGCUUUAGAACUCACUUAUCACUGCCCGGCAUCAACUUGGAUUGCUACGCCAUAAUACAAUUUAUUCUCUUGGCGACUGCAUUUCUCUCGGAAAAGUCCAGGAAUGAAGGAACACGGAACUCUAUUAAGUUGCAUCAGAAGCACUAAGCGUCACGAAGAAACAAGGUCAGGGUGAAAUAAAACCGUUUUCUUAGGGACUGAUAACAGCAGAGCCAAAGCGAUCUGGUGAUUAAUCCUGACAACUUGCACUGGAAGACACCAGAAAUCCAACCUUGGCUCUUUUGCUGAUACAUUAGUGACGGUGAUAGGUUUUAAAUGGCAUCUACAGUAUACAGUAUAUUCAAGUCUUAUUGGGACACUUUGCUUCAGGGAAGCCUUGCCAUCGUUGCCCUCCAGAGGUGUGAGUCACAUAUAGAGAGUCACAUAUAGUAGCAACCAGUUCACCCAGCACUGGAAACAUGAGCAUGUGCACGCAUGCAUGCACAAAACACGGCAAUUCAUUCACACGCACCAUCUGCAUAUGCGUCCAGCAUCAAA